CUCGCGAAAGUGAGAACAAUACCCCAUGGGUCACUAUGCCUGGAACGGUUAGUGGCUGAAAGCUCCGGCGGCACAGGAUGGGUCUGCGGCGUAUCAGGUCGUAGGGGGUGUAACGUACCUCCUAGCCUUCGACGCGUACGGGUUGUGAGAGCAAUUGCCCGGAGAUGGAUUCUGAGACACGAAUCCAGGCCCUACGGGGCGCAGCAGGCGCGAAAACUUGACAAUGCGAGAAAUCGUGAUCAGGGGACUCCAGUUGGCUGGAUCAAAAGUCCAAUCUGAACCGACUUUAAAUCGGUCGGGUAAUAGGGGCGGGAAAGACCGGUGCCAGCCGCCGCGGUAAUACCGGCGCCCCAAGUGGUCGUCACUAUUAUUGGGCCUAAAACGUCCGUAGCCGGUUUGGUAAAUCCGUGGGUAAAUCAGACAGCCUAACUGUCUGAAUUCUGCGGGGACUGCCAGACUUGAGACCGGGAGAGGUGCGGGGUACUUGCGGGGUACCGGUAAAAUGGGAUCAUCCCGUAGAGACCACCUGUUGCGAAGGCGCCGCACUAGAACGGAUCUGACGGUCAGGGACGGAGCCUAGGGGCACGAACCGGAUUAGAUACCCGGGUAGUCCUAGGUGUAAACGCUGUGGACUUGGUGUCGGGGACCUUCUGAGGGUUUCCGGUGCCGGAGUGAUGAUGUUAAGUCCACUGCCUGGGGAG
rnacentral:rRNA from 1 species